rnacentral:rRNA from 1 species
GAAUAGGGCGUAGAGUUGGUAUUAGUAGACCCGAAACCGGGUGACCUAUCCAUGUCCAGGUUGAAGGAACCGUAAAAGGUUUUGGAGGACCGAACACACAUGUGUUGAAAAACGUGGUGAUGAGGUGUGGAUAGCGGAGAAAUUCCAAUCGAACUCGGAGAUAGCUGGUUCUCCUCGAAAUAGCUUUAGGGCUAGCCUCGAGAGGAGUCUAACGGAGGUAAAGCACUGAACUGACGCGGGGCCCAAAAAGGUUACCAACUCAUAUCAAACUAAGAAUGCCGUCAAGAUACCCUCGGGAGUCAGUCUGCGUGAGAUAAGUCGCGUGGACAAAAGGGAAAGAGCCCAGACCGACAGCUAAGGUCCCAAAGUACGUGUUAAGUGGAAAAGGAUGUGGGAUUUCAUAGACAACUAGGAUGUUGGCUUAGAAGCAGCCAUACAUUUAAAGAGUGCGUAAUAGCUCACUAGUCGAGAAAACCUGCGCCGAAAAUGUAACGGGGCUAAAACACGACACCGAAGCUACGGAUUUCUUACUAAGUAAGGAGUGGUAGAGGAGCAUCCUGCAAGGACGAAGCCAAAGUGAGAGCGAUGGUGGACGAAACAGGAGAGAGAAUGCCGGAAUGAGUAGCGAGAUACAUGUGAGAAACAUGUAGGCCGAAUAUCUAAGGAUUCCUGGGUAAAGCUAAUCUUCCCAGGGUUAGUCGGGGCCUAAGGCGAGGACGAAAGUCGUAGUCGAUGGAUAACAGGUUGAUAUUCCUGUACUACACAUAAUCAGAACUGUGGGGACGCAGGAGGAUAGGGAAACCGGGGAAUGGAAAGACCCGGUCAAGCGUAAAGCUGUGGGAGAUAGGCAAAUCCGUCUCCUGUAAGUGAAACGUGAUGAGGACUGAAAAAAAGUAAGGAAGUUUCCGAAUCCACACUGCCGAGAAAAGCCGCUAUUGCGUUAUGUGUACCCGUACCGUAAACCGACACAGGUAGAUGAGGAGAAAAUCCACAGGCCGACGGGAGAAGUGUUGUUAAGGAACUCGGCAAAAUGACCCCGUAACUUCGGGAUAAGGGGAGCCUCGCAAGAGGCCGCAGAAAAGAGGCACAAGCAACUGUUUAGCAAAAACAUAGGUCUAUGCGAAACCGUAAGGUGAAGUAUAUGGGCUGACGCCUGCCCGGUGCUGGAAGGUUAAAAGGAGAGGUCAGCGCAAGCGAAGCUUUGAAUUCAAGCCCCAGUAAACGGCGGCCGUAACUAUAACGGUCCUAAGGUAGCGAAAUUCCUUGUCAGGUAAGUUCUGACCCGCACGAAAG